rnacentral:tRNA from 1 species
CUCGGUGUAGCGCAGUCUGGUAGCGCAUCUCGUUUGGGACGAGAGGGUCGGAGGUUCAAAUCCUUUCACCGAGACCA